rnacentral:lncRNA from 1 species
CCCAGGUUCAGGUGUGGUCAGGGUCUCUGGGUCGGCCCCGUGGGCACCUGGGUUCCCUUUCUCUCUCUCCUGCCCUCUCUGUGGCACUCAGCCCAGAUGGUGAUCGGGUGGCUGUUGGAUAUCGAGCGGAUGGCAUUAGGAUCUACAAAAUCUCUUCAGGUUCCCAGGGGGCUCAGGGUCAGGCACUGGAUGUGGCAGUGUCCGCCCUGGCCUGGCUAAGCCCCAAGGUGUUGGUGAGUGGUGCAGAAGAUGGGUCCUUGCAGGGCUGGGCACUCAAGGAAUGCUCCCUUCAGUCCCUCUGGCUCCUGUCCAGAUUCCAGAAGCCUGUGCUAGGACUGGCCACUUCCCAGGAGCUCUUGGCUUCUGCCUCAGAGGAUUUCACAGUGCAGCUGUGGCCAAGGCAGCUGCUGAUGCGGCCACACAAGGCAGAAGACUUUCCCUGUGGCACUGAGCUGCGGGGACAUGAGGGCCCUGUGAGCUGCUGUAGUUUCAGCACUGAU